rnacentral:rRNA from 1 species
AACGAACGCUGGCGGCAUGCCUAACACAUGCAAGUCGAACGAGAUCUUCGGGUCUAGUGGCGCACGGGUGCGUAACGCGUGGGAAUCUGCCCUUUGGUUCGGAAUAACAGUUGGAAACGACUGCUAAUACCGGAUGAUGACGAAAGUCCAAAGAUUUAUCGCCAGAGGAUGAGCCCGCGUAGGAUUAGCUAGUUGGUGUGGUAAAGGCGCACCAAGGCGACGAGCCUUAGCUGGUCUGGGAGGAUGAUCAGCCACCCUGGGGCUGAGACACGGCCCAGACUCCGACGGGAGGCAGCAGUGGGGAAUAUUGGACAAUGGGCGAAAGCCUGAUCCAGCAAUGCCGCGUGAGUGAUGAAGGCCUUAGGGUUGUAAAGCUCUUUUACCCGGGAUGAUGAUGACAGUACCGGGAGAAUAAGCUCCGGCUAACUCCGUGCCAGCAGCCGCCGUAA